GUUAUUGAUUCAUUAAUGGAAUGAAUGAAUAUAGAUGAGGAUCUUUCCUUUUAUACAGCAGUUACGCAAUUAACUGUAACCAAUUAAGAAAUUCAGUUCUUCCUUCUAACUUCCUCAAUAGCAUUUCCCUCCAAAACGUUCUCUACCUGACCCUUAUUCUGCCUAACAAUAUUAUUUCUCUUCUUUCUUCUACAAUAUGUAACAAUAACCACCACCCUUCCCAACACCCCCCCG
rnacentral:misc_RNA from 1 species